CGGAGGGUGCAAGCGUUAUCCGGAUUCACUGGGUUUAAAGGGUGUGUAGGCGGGUAGUUAAGUCAGUGGUGAAAUCUCCGGGCUCAACCUGGAAACUGCCAUUGAUACUAUCUAUCUUGAAUUUUGUUGAGGUAGGCGGAAUAUGUCAUGUAGCGGUGAAAUGCAUAGAUAUGACAUAGAACACCAAUUGCGAAGGCAGCUUACUAAGCAAAUAUUGACGCUGAGGCACGAAAGCGUGGGGAUCAAACAGGAUUAGAUACCCUGGUAGUCCACGCCCUAAACGAUGAUUACUCGACAUACGCGAUACACAGUGUGUGUCUGAGCGAAAGCAUUAAGUAAUCCACCUGGGAAGUACGUCCGCAAGGAUG
rnacentral:rRNA from 1 species